AACUGUUAAAUUCAAUACUAUUAAUUACUUAGCAAACUCUUCUACUUUGUAAUAAAUAAAAAACAAUAAUAUUUAUUAUUUUACCUUUGUUCUUUCCUUGGAGUAAAAGAAAGGUAUUGUUUGUUAAUUAAAGAAAAACAAAAAAAAUUAAACAAGCAUUUAUGAAGUGUUUGGUGACACGAAAGCGACAUGUAUAUUGGGUUCGAGGGCUUUGGGAUUUUGGUCCUGUAAUUAUCCUAAUUUUAGUUUUGGAUAUAGAAAAAUU
rnacentral:lncRNA from 1 species